rnacentral:rRNA from 1 species
AUUUACCGCUGGCGGCAGGCCUAACACAUGCAAGUCGAGCGAGCGGCGGACGGGUGAGGAAUGUAUGGGGACUGCCCGAUAGAGGGGGAUAACUACUGGAAACGGUAGCUAAUACCGCAUACUAUCGGAUAACCCAUAUGGGAUUAGCUAGUAGGUGAGGUAAUGGCUCACCUAGGCGACGAUCCAUCGCUGGUCGGAGAGUAUGAUCAGCCACACUGGGACUGAGACACGGCCCAGACUCCUACGGAGUCAGCAGUGGGGAAUAUUGCACAAUGGGCGCAAGCCUGAUGCAGCCAUGCCGCGUGUAUGAAGAAGGCCCUAGGGUUGUAAAGUACUUUCAGUCGGGAGGCGUUACCGACAGAAGAAGCACCGGCUAACUCCGUGCCAGCAGCCGCGGUAAUUC